rnacentral:ribozyme from 1 species
UUCUCCCUUCCUCUUGGUAGGAAGGUCUGAGAGGGUACCGCCUGCUCAUACCGAUUUUCAGGGUGAGUGCCAUUUGACUCAGUUUUGCCAGCUCUCCCGUGACGGGCUGCUUCUGGUUCGGGACAACGCGAGAAAAGAAAA